rnacentral:tRNA from 1 species
AGUCUUAUAGUUAAAUAUUAUAAUAUAAAAUUGCAAAUUUUAAGAUGAAAAAAAAAAUUCUAAGGCUU